GCAGCCAGGGCGCAGCCAGAACUCACCAGAAACUUCACCAUUGUUACCCCCGGUCUGCCGCCCCCGGCCAGGGCACGGGCCGUGCGGUACUAGAAGGUGCUGUAAAGUCUCCUUGAAAUCUUCUCCAGGCUGAGCAACCCCAGCUCCCUCAGCCUGGAGAGGUGCUCCAGGCCCUUGGUCAUCUUCGUGGCCCUCUUCUGGACUCUGUGCAACAGGUCCACAUCAUUCUUAUGCUGAAGACCUCAGAGCUGGAUGCAGCACUCCAGAACCACAGAAUCAUUUAGGUUGGAAAAGACUAAGAUCAUCAAGUCCAACCUUUGACCAGUCACCAACUUGUCAACUAGACCACAGCACUAAGUGCCAUGUCCAGUUGUUUCUUGAACACUUCCAGGGAUGGUGGCUCCACCUUCAUGAAGGAUUUCUUCCUGCCUGAUGUCCAUCCUGAACCUCCCCUGGCACAGUUGGAGACUAUGUCAUCUUGUCCUGUCACUCAGAAGAGGCUGACUCCCACUUCACUACAACCUCCUUUCAGGGAGUUGUAGAGAGCAAUGGGGUUUCCCCUGAGUCUUCUUUUCUGCAGGCUAAACAAUCUCAGCUCUCCCAUUUGCUCCUCAUAGCCCGGACUCUCUAGAUCCUUCACUAGCUUCAUUGCCCUUCUCUGGACAUGUUUCUUGAAGCAAGAGGCCCAGAACUGGACACAACAAUGCUUCGAGUUCCAGAUGGAAGUUCAAACUGGUGUUUGCUUUCUAAUUGGUGUUAAUAGUUUGGCUUGAUAUAUGUUUGCCUGGUUUCUGAAAAUAUGUUUCAGUUAAAGAGUGACCUAUAAGUUAAGUUAAGUUAAGCUAAGUUCAGAACUAAGACUU